GCACACACACAGAGUCGUCUUUGUUUCCUCCCUGCCGCAGAUGGCCUUCCUGUCACGCAGCUGGAUACCUCUCUUUGCCAUCACCUGCUGUACGGUUGUGCACCUUAGUUAUGCUGGCGAAUUCUCCAAACCAGUACCUCCCAAGUACCCUGGUGAUAAUGCCCAGUUGGAGGAACUGUGGAUAUUCUGGGAAGACCUCAUGAGUUACCUGGCAGCCGUUUCUCGUAUCAAAAUCGCCAACAGUCUUAGGACAUUUUCUAGGCUGCUGGUCCAAUAGCCAUGCUAUGUGUUUAACGGACAGAGCCAGAUGUGGCGAAUACUACUACACUAACAACAAACAGAAAAAUGAA